CCCGUAAUUAUGUUGCUGUCGCGACUGUGCGACGGGCGCCCGCAGUGAGUGUGCGAGCGCGACAGCAACAUAAUUACGCGCGAGCGAUAGGGAUGGGUAGUUUGGGGUCAUUGGACGGGAUUCUACGCAGCUCGCACACUCACUGCGGGCGCCCGUCGCACAGUCGCGACAGCGUCUUUCCGUUCUAUACAUAGCCAGAACGCAAGGGUGUGAAACUAAUCGAGUAUAGUUUGGAGAUGACUUUUUUUACUAAGCUCCUCCAAACUAUACACGACCAGUACGCAUAUGCUGCGUACUGCUCGCGUAUACUUUGUAGUGACUUAGGUCAAUUAUCUUACUCCAAAAUAUACAUCGCCAGUACGCAUACGGACUAAUCAUGUAUGUAUUGUAAUAAGUGCGUGAUUACAAUUUAUACGCGAGUAGUUGCAUGCUAGUCAUUUUGUCUUAUUGACCUCUCUUUCUAUUAUAUUAUUAAUUCAUAUCUGCGUGUCUACUUUAAACAUUGAAUCAUCUUUCGACACGUAUUCUGCCAUAGAAAAGAUAUUUGUUUUGGGGCUGAUAUUUAAUUUUCACCAAUUCUCGAAUAACUCUUAAAUUAAUAAUUAUGUAGGUAUGGAAAUAUUAUUAUGUCAAAAUGAUUUUGUUCUUGAGAUAAAAGUUAUUAAAUAAAAUAAAUAAUAAAUAAAUAUCCUUAGACAUUUUACACUGCGCUUCUAGUCCCAAACUAAGCAAAGCUUGUACCUACAUAAUACUAAGUAUUAAACAUACAUACUUUUUUUUUACUUAAAUACUUUUUUUUUGUAAAUACAUACUUACUAUACAUAGAAAACACCCAGUCCAAUACAAACAAAUAUGUUCAUGCACAUAAAUGUUUGUACUGUGCGGGAAUCGAACCCGCUCCCUCCGGAAUAGUAGUCCGUUUCGAACCACUACACCAAACGGCCGAUAAUACAAACCUAGCAUUUAAAGUCUCGCAUAAUGUAUUAAUAAUGCACGUUGAACUUUCUUCUCUCACUCUCUCUCUCAUUUUAAAUGAAUUUAUGAUUACACUAAUAAUUGUUAUUUAAUUUGAAAUCUACCUAAUCAAUUUAAUUUCAAAAACCACUUACAAUAGUGUUAAAAAUCUAGAUUUAUUAUAGAUUCAGUAAAAUAAUAAUAUUUUAUGUAAUAAUAUCGAAUAAAUGUAAUUUUAAAUAUAAUUCCAUAUUUUACUAAAUCAAUAUCAACUAAACACACUCUAGUCAAGUGUAAGUGGUGUAGUAGAAACUAAUCGAGUAUAGUUUGGAUAUGACUUUUUUUACUAAGCUCUUCCAAACUAUACACGAUCAGUACGCAAAAUUCGUGUAUAGUUUGGAGUCACAGAUUUACAAACGGGCACUACAAAAUAUACACGAGCAGUUUCCUAUGGGUGCGUUCUGGCCAUGUAUAGAACGGAAAGACGCGUCGCGACAGCAACAUAAUUAGCUCCUACGUCACGCCGGCGCCGCCGCCCAGGCCGCGCACUCCACCACCGCCGCCCACGAGCCGGCGCCGCCGGUGCAGCCCUCGCCGCAGCCGCCGCUCUCGCUGGUGCGUGCCUCCUGAAUAAAGCCGCAGUGAGUGUGCGAGCGCGACAGCAACAUAAUUACGCGCGAGCGAUAGGGAUGGGUAGUUUGAGGUCAUUGGACGGGAUUUUACGCAGCUCGCACACUCACUGCGGGCGCCCGUCGCACAGUCGCGACAGCAACAUAAUUACGCGCGAGCGAUAGGGAUGGGUAGCUUGGGGUCAUUGGACGGGAUUCUACGCAGCUCGCACACUCACUGCGGGCGCCCGUCGCACAGUCGCGACAGCAACAUAAUUACGCGCGAGCGAUAGGGAUGGGUAGCUUGGGGUCAUUGGACGGGAUUCUACGCAGCUCGCACACUCACUGCGGGCGCCCGUCGCACAGUCGCGACAGCAACAUAAUUACGCGCGAGCGAUAGGGAUGGGUAGCUUGGGGUCAUUGGACGGGAUUCUACGCAGCUCGCACACUCACUGCGGGCGCCCGUCGCACAGUCGCGACAGCAACAUAAUUACGCGCGAGCGAUAGGGAUGGGUAGCUUGGGGUCAUUGGACGGGAUUCUACGCAGCUCGCACACUCACUGCGGGCGCCCGUCGCACAGUCGCGACAGCAACAUAAUUACGCGCGAGCGAUAGGGAUGGGUAGCUUGGGGUCAUUGGACGGGAUUCUACGCAGCUCGCACACUCACUGCGGGCGCCCGUCGCACAGUCGCGACAGCAACAUAAUUACGCGCGAGCGAUAGGGAUGGGUAGCUUGGGGUCAUUGGACGGGAUUCUACGCAGCUCGCACACUCACUGCGGGCGCCCGUCGCACAGUCGCGACAGCAACAUAAUUACGCGCGAGCGAUAGGGAUGGGUAGCUUGGGGUCAUUGGACGGGAUUCUACGCAGCUCGCACACUCACUGCGGGCGCCCGUCGCACAGUCGCGACAGCAACAUAAUUACGCGCGAGCGAUAGGGAUGGGUAGCUUGGGGUCAUUGGACGGGAUUCUACGCAGCUCGCACACUCACUGCGGGCGCCCGUCGCACAGACGCGACAGCAACAUAAUUAGCUCCUACGUCACGCCGGCGCCGCCAGGCCGCCACUCCACCACCGCCGCCCACGAGCCCGCGCCGCCGGUGCAGCCCUCGCCGCAGCCGCCGCUCUCGCUGCCAAUCAACACUUCGGACCCGGCCAAUCACCAGUUGAACAAAGAGGGGAGCGCCGACGUCCACUAGGCGACGAGAAUACGCUACGUUACAGUACCGUAAGGCGCCGAGCGACAAACUUACAAACAAACAAUAGUUUUAUUGAUUCCAUCGCAACUAUGUCAUAAGUACCUAUGUCGUAAGCCAACGAGUGAUAAUUAUGUAGCGGCGUUUGCAUUGAGACCGGUGCCAGGAGGCCGGACAAUAAGUGUGUGGAUUCGAGUGAAGUGACUCGUGCGUGACGGGACUACGACGCAGUGUGAUACGUCUCAGUGCAAACGGCGCGUAAUGAGCGAAUAGUUGAUUCUGUGUUUGUAUUUGGUAAGUUGGGACAGCUAUAUAUAAAUACUGUAUAUGUAUCGCGCGCACCGGCCGCGCCCUGCACGCUCGCUGCUCGCCGUCAAGUGCGUCGAGACAUGGCGGGUGACCAUACACAACUUGUUAGUAACUUUAUUGAACAAUUCCUCUUUGGCCAAGUCAAUGGAUGGCCACAGAUGAAUUUUUCCUUCAUAGUGGUGCCGUCAUAUUGCUCAUAUUGUAAGACGGAUUAAAAAGAUUUCUAAGAAACCACAUUGUUACUUUAGUGGCGCGUUUCGCCGCCCCGAAAAGUUUUGUUUUUGGCCAAGAAUGGUGUUUUUAUUCUUGUAGCGCAAGCAGUGCUUGCUAUUUUUCUUGUAUAAUGUGUACGGUGAACUCUAAGCCGACUGUGUGCCGAAGACAAUAUGGUCAUGGUCAUGGUCAAAAGCAACGUUUUCUACAAAAGCGGUAGCGUCACGAAUAAUGGAAAAGGCGGACCUAAUUUUAUAAUAUCUAGACAACUUUUGUGGCCACAACUUGACGGCACCGCUGACACAGAAAGCUAGCGUUCGGCUCGCACAUACAAUGUUGCGAACCUCAUCAUUAUCGUCCAAGCAGUGCUUCGGUGGAGUAACCAAUGCUGGAACAAAACGAUACUCCAAAGUUCAGGCUCUAUUAUAAAAUGUUAUGAGGCACAUAACGAUUUGAUACUUGUCGCAAAUAUAGUAAUUUGUUCACACUUUUGCGGUGCCUUUAGCGUCGCUGUUUCUUUAGAUGCAAUUUCUGGCUGGCGCGCAUGCGAAGUUACGGUUGUAUUACCGAUUCGUUUAAUUUAAACAUGGAUCAGUAUCAAAACCGUAAUGUAAACAUACAAUGAAGUGUGGUAAGAAACUAACGGAGCCUCAACUUACGAGUAUCGUUAUAGCGGGUGUUCUCCUUUACGCGAUAGCCGUUUUUUUCGCUCUAUCCGUCCCUCGCCAGGCCAUUUACAGCGUCACGCAAAAAGCGCUCUUAAGUUGCACUGCAAUGUGUGUUCCAGGGCGCUUUUUGAGUAAUGCAAUCGGCAAAAUGAAAGGGACAGAGCAUAAAAGUCGGUGACCGCACAGGGCGCGCGCGGCGCCGCCCGACGCCACAUACAUACGAACUGUUAAUUUUUAAGUAUCGACAAAUGGACUGUAGAUUCUAUCAUCACACUUGUAAACGAGAAAACGGGAGGUCUUCGUGUUUUUUUUGUUUGAAAUGUACAAAAUCAUGCUUUCAUUUGAUUAAUUUUUUUUUCUAAAUAGACUUUAAGUGACGAAUUUGUACAUGAACGAACACCGUCGAAAGUAGACCGAAACGCAAUAGCGGGGCGCGCCCCACAUCCACCUGUUUGAAAAUCGUGAGAAAUUGGUAUUUAAAAUUAGUAUUUACUUACAGUUUAGUUUAAUGACAAAAACAAUGUGUAUAUUUUAUGAGAAAGUGAAAAGUUCUUAAAUAAAACUAUUGUUUUCGGAUUAAUUA